rnacentral:rRNA from 1 species
UACAGAGGUCUCAAGCGUUGUUCGGAUUCAUUGGGCGUAAAGGGUGCGUAGGCGGCGCGGUAAGUCGGGUGUGAAAUCUGGAGCUUAACUCCGAAACUGCAUUCGAUACUGCCGUGCUUGAGGACUGGAGAGGAGACUGGAAUUUACGGUGUAGCGGUGAAAUGCGUAGAUAUCGUAAGGAAGACCAGUGGCGAAGGCGGGUCUCUGGGCA